GGCGCUGUGGCCCAACUGGUAUCAGGGCAGCGAAUUCCGCGCGAUUCGCGACCGCGAUCGCGCCGGCAAGUAACGUCUCCCCACCCCGGCCGGCGCCG
rnacentral:tRNA from 1 species